CCUCUUUAUAAGAGUGCAAAUGGACUCUUUGGUGAUGAUUUUGCCAAAGAAUCAAGGAAAACCACAGCCCCAGCUCAAUGGUGGAAGAAUUAUGGGCAUGCAGCUCCCAACUUACAAAAACUAGCUAUCAAGAUUUUAAGCUUGACAUGUAGUUCAUCGGGAUGUGAGCGCAAUUGGAGUGUUUUUGAGCAAAUUCAUUCAAAGAAAAGGAAUAGACUGGACCACAAAAGGUUGCAUGAUUUGGUUUACAUAAAGUAUAAUCAACAACUUGCUCAAAGAUACAAUAUUAGGGAUGAAAUAGACCCUAUUUUAUUGAAUGACAUUGAUGAAUGUAAUGAGUGGUUAGUGGGAGAAGUUGAUGAUGAUAAUGAUAAUGAAGAGGGAGGUAAUGAUUUGGUUUUUCAUGAUGAUCCCGCUCUUAAUUGGGCAACUGUUUAUGA